UGAUUAGUUGUCUGAGUUUUUCAACAAAAAUAGUUGCAGGAUGCAUAGAUUUGGAUGGGAUGGGUGCAGAGUGCAAGUACCAAAGUCAUUAGUUAGUUAGUUUGUUUAUCCUUUUUGAUGUUAAUGAAC